CGAGCACACACACAACGGGUAAUCCUUGAACUGAAACUUACAUUUCUGCUCAUAUAGCUGUGAGCAUUGGCACCUCCCUGAACGGUAGUCAGGAUGAAGUUCGCCGUUUUCCCCGCGCUCUGCCUCCACCUCGCUUUGGUCAGCGCUAUAGAUCACAACCUGCAGCCCUGCAUGCCUGCACCCUACCAGGAAGCCCAUAACACCUUCAUCAAUCGGCACGUCCAUGCGGGAGCCCCGGAGGGCGGCGAUAACAAUGACUGGAAAAAUUUUUUAAUAAACAACGGCUUCUGCAAAAGACCGGUCCAGUCAUUCUUCCCUUAUCGCGACAUGCAGAGAAUCAACGACGUCUGCUCGCCCGCAGGGGGAAAGAUUUACCGGCAAAAUCUGUGUAUCAGCAAAGGGAACUUCUCUUUCAUUACUCUGACAGUCAAUAAUGAGACUUGUCACGUGGAGCGUAUUAUACGUGAGUCGAAGCACAUAAUUCUCGCCUGUGAAGAAAUCGAAAAGAUGUGCCAACCUGUCCACUACCAGAAAAAUCCCGAAGACGUGGUUCCCAAGGAAAACGAUCCAGACUGCUCGGGUGCUCCCUCUGCCAUACACCCAGGCAUAAGGGCACCAAAGACUUCCGCGCUUUUCGUAAUUUUUCUAUGGUCUGCGUUGCUGUAGCUGUAAGCUCACAUUCAGAAUCCAUUUUCGCAAAGAUCGCUUCACAGCACUGAAAAAUAAAGAUAUUUAAUCCAAUGCCUUUUUGUAAUGCUACACCUAUAUUCACUGAUGGACUUCGUGCGGAGUUUGGGACCAAAGAGCCAAACCCCACAGAGUGAUUGAUUUGAUUCAGGCUUUUCAGCAAAAAAAUAAAAAGGAUGGAGUGAUGGCUAAGUCUCAUGGAUGGUGGGAAUUUACUGAUGUUAUUGCUGAAGUUGUGUCUACAUUCAUACUAUGAUAUAUAAAUACAUGUGUACGUACUUGCUCACUCAAUAGGUGAAGUUAGGUGUGUAGCCUAUAUUACUCUCUUCCUCUUUUUAAGCGCCUUGCUGACAUCUGUGGACACAGAGGAAGUGUAAGCUGAGGUGCUAAUUCGAGCACGAGACAUUCUAAUCAAAUGGUAUCGAAAAUCAAACACGCUUGGCGUGAGAUUUCUGUUUCCAGCCGUUUCGCGGCAGGUUGUUCAGUUGUCAGUGCCUGCUGUGUAUAGCUACUGUGUGUAAUCUAGUACAUUUGCUUCCCACCUCACUUUUACCAUUUCUUAUGUGCGGUUUUGCUUGUGAACAGUACAUGUUUUGAGUGUGGUUAUAAAUCAGUCUUUUUUUUAUCAAGUAGUUAUUUUCCUGUGACUGAGCUAUGUUGUGUCACCACUCACCAGCCAACGAUGCCACCCUGCCACAGUGCACAUUAAUUAAAGCAAAGUUCGGCUGAA